UCCCUGCUGGCUCAGGUGGUAAAGAAUCCGCCUGCAAUGCGGGAGACCUGGGUUCAAUCUCUGGCUGGGAG
rnacentral:tRNA from 1 species